rnacentral:rRNA from 1 species
AAUGAACGCUGGCGGCGUGCUUAACACAUGCAAGUUGGACGAGAAAGGCUGAUUUCGGUUGGCCGAGUAAAGUGGCGCACGGGUGAGUAACGCGUAGGCAACCUACCCUUGUAUUGGGGAUAACCCCGCGAAAGCGGGGCUAAUACCGAAUGAGACCCUGUUCUGGUGGGGACAGGGUGAAAGUCGGCCGCUCGGAGAAGCUGACGUACGAGGAUGGGCCUGCGUCCUAUCAGCUAGUUGGUGGGGUAGUGGCCUACCAAGGCGACGACGGGUAGCUGGUCUGAGAGGAUGAUCAGCCACACUGGCACUGGAACACGGGCCAGACUCCUACGGGAGGCAGCAGUGAGGAAUUUUGCGCAAUGGCCGCAAGGCUGACGCAGCAACGCCGCGUGGGUGAUGAAGGCCUUCGGGU